UACGUAGGGCGCGAGCGUUGUCCGGAAUUAUUGGGCGUAAAGAGCGUGUAGGCGGCCAUUCAGGUCAGCUGUGAAAACUCGAGGCUCAACCUCGAGACGUCGGUUGAAACCAUCUGGCUAGAGUCCGGAAGAGGAGAGUGGAAUUCCUGGUGUAGCGGUGAAAUGCGCAGAUAUCAGGAAGAACACCCGUGGCGAAGGCGGCUCUCUGGGACGGUACUGACGCUGAGACGCGAAAGCGUGGGGAGCGAACAGG
rnacentral:rRNA from 1 species